UCGAGCGGAAGGAAGGGGAAGCUUGCUCCCUGAGGUAGCGGCGGAGGGGUGAGUAACACGUGGGUAACCUGCCUGUAAGAGUGGGAGAACUCCGGGAAACCGGGGCUAAUACCGGAGGCUUGAUUGAACCGCAUGGUUCAAUUAUAAAAGGUGGCUCUUAGCUACCACUUACAGAUGGACCCGCGGCGCAUUAGCUAGUUGGUGAGGUAACGGCUCACCAAGGCAACGAUGCGUAGCCGACCUGAGAGGGUGAUCGGCCACACUGGGACUGAGACACGGCCCAGACUCCUACGGGAGGCAGCAGUAGGGAAUCUUCCGCAAUGGACGAAAGUCUGACGGAGCAACGCCGCGUGAGUGAUGAAGGUUUUCGGAUCGUAAAACUCUGUUGUUAGGGAAGAACAAGUACCGUUCGAAUAGGGCGGUACCUUGACGGUACCUAACCAGAAAGCCACGGCUAACUACGUGCCAGCAGCCGCGGUAAUACGUAGUGGCAAGCGUUGUCCGGAAUUAUUGGGCGUAAAGCGCGCGCAGGCGGUUUCUUAAGUCUGAUGUGAAGCCCCGGCUCACCGGGGAGGGUCAUUGGAAACUGGGGAACUUGAGUGCAGAGAGGAGAGU
rnacentral:rRNA from 1 species